rnacentral:lncRNA from 10 species
AUGGUCGAGGUGGAUUUCUUUGGGUUCCUGUAUCUUCUAACUUUUUGUGGCAUCAGAGUGAGCGAACACGGAGUAGGUAUGCUCAUUGAAAGUUUAAUUGAAUAUGAGCCACCAAAUUUUGACUUCAAUUUACACAUCCCAGUAUCAUGCUAUGUGCAAAGAAGGUUUCCAAUAAUCUUAGUGAUGAGAAGGGGAGAGAAUGACAACCGUCGUGAAUGCAGAAGGUCAGUGGGACAGCACUGCUCACUAUCACGCAAACUUGAAGACUUGGGAAUCCGUCCAAGAGUAUCCUAUGUGAACAGUGUUCCCUUGUUGAGCUACUUAAUUGUAUCCCUUCCUAAGUGUAAGAACAAAGCUAUACAUUCUGGAUGAUGAGGCCACCCUAUUCAUUCACCUGGUGCUCUGGCCGCUUAAGGAUUUCAUUGCCUUUUAGAAGUUGAACUAGUCACUGGAUAUUGUCUUUUGUCAUUUCAAAUGUGAUAUUUUUAAACGAAAAACUUGCUCUGUUGUCCAUAUUUAUGAAUUGUUGGGGUAGGGAGAAAAGCCUUCCUUUCCCAGAUUUUAAACUUGUAAUAAAUAAACUUUAUUCUUAAAUAAAGUUUUAUAAUUCUUAAUAGUUAUUUAUAUUUUUUAAAGCCUAAGUCCUGAUCCACAGAGCAUUAUAAAG